rnacentral:rRNA from 1 species
AUACGGAGGGGGCUAGCGUUGUUCGGAAUUACUGGGCGUAAAGCGCGUGUAGGCGGAUCGUUAAGUCAGGGGUGAAAGCCCGGAGCUCAACUCCGGAAUUGCCCUUGAUACUGGCGAUCUAGAGGCCGGGAGAGGUGAGCGGAAUUCCCAGUGUAGAGGUGAAAUUCGUAGAUAUUGAGAGGAACACCAGUGGCGAAGGCGGCUCACUGGCCCGGUUCUGACGCUGAGACGCGAAAGCGUGGGGAGCAAACAGGAUUAGAAACCCUAGUAGUCC